rnacentral:lncRNA from 1 species
CAAAGGAUAAAUGGAUUUUUUAUAAAUUAGAAAGAAAUACCUCAGUAUGGAAAUAUGUACUGAACACUAUCGACCUAAUAGCUAGGAAAAUUAACAGGGGAAUGUUUUCUUUUAAAGGCACGACUUGAUUCCCACCUUGCCUGUGUCAUUGUGGAGGGUGGAAUGUGUAUGUCUCUUUAUUAGGCUGGAAGUUUAAUAACAGAAUGGAAAAGGAUGCAGAAUCAGAUCUGACAAGAUACUUGUCAAGUUUUAGCUUACAGUUUGAGGGAUUGAUCCCAUCAGGACGGGAAAGGAUGGUGGCAGCAGCCUCUCACAGCUCGUCACAUUGUGAUCACAUAUAAGAAGCAGAGAGCACAGAGGAAGUAGGCCCAGGCUAUCAGACUUCAAGGCCCAUCCCCAACAAGUGACUUCCUCCAAUAGGCUUCUACCUCUUAAGGCACAAUGGGCCUGACUUGAAGCUCAUCACUGGACCACAGGCAACUUGCCAACAGAUUAUAUGGGUGUUCCAUAUAAGGUGCAACACUCAACAGUCACAGGUUCUCUGCACCUUGGCUGCCCAUAUGUUCAUAUUAACUGACACUUGCUGCAAAGAAAGCUUCUCUGACCAAGACUGAGAGCAAUACUACUCCAUGGGUGACUGCAUGCCAGCUUUGGCACAAUGGAAGUGGCCAGCAGAAAAGAAGCUUCCAGAUCAGUUCCAGGCUGAUUUUUGUAUUUUGUAACCAAGGAGAGUCAAGACACAGACCCCAGGAGCAGGACAAAGCCCACCCCUCUUGAUCUGUUGGAAAGAUCCCUGGUAUUUGAAUCCUGGAGUGAGUGUAUCCAUGAGAGCGAGCACUAUAGCAAUGGCCUUCAUGCCUGGCCUCUUCCUGUAGGUCUCUGAUGGCUAGAGACGCUGCUUUCAGAGGAGGCUUUAAUGACAGCCCAUUGUCAGCUGCUUCUCAUGCAGGAAACAGAUUUUAUUCAGCUGUAAAGAAAAAUGAAAUUGGCCCAAUGAGAUGGCUCAGAGGGUAAAAGUGAUCGCUACGUGAGCCAGACCAUCUGAGUUUGGAUCCCUGAAACCCACACAGAAAGGGAUCAACUCUGGUAUAAAAAGGGAGCAAUUACAUAAAUGUGUGGAUACUAGAACAGAAGGCCCUUUAGAAGCCUUAGAGGACGCCACGCCUAAAUGGAAUAUUUCCUACAUGGUGUGAGCCGUGAGUAGAAGAUUGAGCCCAAGGCUGGAGACCUAGCCAGGUUUCCUGCUUGUUCAUACUGGAAGGAUCCAAAUUUCUGCAUUUCACCCCUGAAAGCCACAGCAGGUGGGUUGUUUCUUCUUGCUGUGAUAAAUGCUCAAGAAAACAGCCUAAAGCAGGGGACUUCGCUGACUGUUUCG